rnacentral:rRNA from 1 species
AGCGAACGCUGGCGGCAGGCUUAACACAUGCAAGUCGAGCGGGCCUUUCGGGGUCAGCGGCGGACGGGUGAGUAACGCGUGGGAACGUGCCCUCUGGUUCGGAAUAACUCAGGGAAACUUGAGCUAAUACCGGAUACGCCCUUUUGGGGAAAGGCUUGCUGCCGGAGGAUCGGCCCGCGUCCGAUUAGCUUGUUGGUGAGGUAACGGCUCACCAAGGCGACGAUCAGUAGCUGGUUUGAGAGGAUGAUCAGCCACACUGGGACUGAGACACGGCCCAGACUCCUACGGGAGGCAGCAGUGGGGAAUAUUGGACAAUGGGCGCAAGCCUGAUCCAGCCAGGCCGCGUGAGUGAUGAAGGCCUUAGGGUUGUAAAGCUCUUUUAUCCGGGACGAUAAUGACGGUACCGGAGGAAUAAGCCCCGGCUAACUUCGUG